AACAGGAUUAGAUACCCUGGUAGUCCACGCCCUAAACGAUGUCUACUAGUUGUCGGGUCUUAAUUGACUUGGUAACGCAGCUAACGCGUGAAGUAGACCGCCUGGGGAGUACGGUCGCAAGAUUAAAACUCAAAGGAAUUGACGGGGACCCGCACAAGCGGUGGAUGAUGUGGAUUAAUUCGAUGCAACGCGAAAAACCUUACCUACCCUUGACAUGGCUGGAAUCCCCGAGAGAUUGGGGAGUGCUCGAAAGAGAACCAGUACACAGGUGCUGCAUGGCUGUCGUCAGCUCGUGUCGUGAGAUGUUGGGUUAAGUCCCGCAACGAGCGCAACCCUUGUCAUUAGUUGCUACGAAAGGGCACUCUAAUGAGACUGCCGGUGACAAACCGGAGGAAGGUGGGGAUGACGUCAAGUCCUCAUGGCCCUUAUGGGUAGGGCUUCACACGUCAUACAAUGGUACAUACAGAGCGCCGCCAACCCGCGAGGGGGAGCUAAUCGCAGAAAGUGUAUCGUAGUCCGGAUUGUAGUCUGCAACUCGACUGCAUGAAGUUGGAAUCGCUAGUAAUCGCGGAUCAGCAUGUCGCGGUGAAUACGUUCCCGGGUCUUGUACACACCGCCCGUCACACCAUGGGAGCGGGUUUUACCAGAAGUAGGUAGCUUAACCGCAAGGAGGGCGCUUACCACGGUAGGAUUCGUGUCUGGGGUGAAGUCGUAACAAGGUAACC
rnacentral:rRNA from 1 species